rnacentral:rRNA from 1 species
GACGAACCGUGCGAACGUUAUUCGGAAUCACUGGGCUUAAAGGGCGCGUAGGCGGGCCAUCAAGUCAGAGGUGAAAGCCCCCGGCUCAACCGGGGAAGUGCCUUUGAUACUGACGGCCUCGAGGGGGAUAGGGGCGUGCGGAACUUCCGGUGGAGCGGUGAAAUGCGCAGAUAUCAGGAAGAACACCCGUGGCGAAGGCGGCUUUCUGGGACGGUACUGACGCUGAGACGCGAAAGCGUGGGGAGCGAACAGG